rnacentral:lncRNA from 1 species
UCUACAUCUUAUCAAUAACUAAUUUUGGAAAGGCAUUUGCUGUUUUGUAGGGUUGACUCAUCUCAUCACAGGUAUGUUCCUGGAUUUUAUAAUAACCUUUAAUUUUUUUAAAAACUGCCUGCAGACAGUGUUAGUGUUAGUGCGCCCCGUACAUGGGAACCACGGUCCCCACAACGGUCGUAGGUACGAGUCCGGCCCCGACCAUGUUCUGCAUGUCCUUUGCCAUCUCUCUCUGUCUCCCCACAUUUCACCCUGUCCAAUCAAAGAAGGCUGAAAUUGCCCAAAAAUAUACUUAAUAAAAUAAAUAAGUAAAUAAAAUGCCUCCAGACGUCCUCCCUCUCUCUCUCUCUCUCUCCCUCUCUCUCUGCAGCCUUCUCACAUGCGUCACUGAGAGAUUUAUGCAGAAGUCUUGUUCUUAUUAAACAAGAAAACUCUGCCUAUUCAAACUAGCUUCUUCAAAAAGUUUUUGAUGUAUGCGCUCUGAUUCACUUCCUCUCUGCAAGUGUAAAAACUUAACUUUUUCAACAUCACAAAUACACGGAAUCUCCUGCGACCUCAAGAUCUGUCUAACUUGUAUUUGCAUAAUGGGCAGUUGGAAAUUAGUAAAGGGUCUUAUUUUUUUUUUCUUUGCUGGGAGAUUAUCUUAAAGCUAUCCACACCAGGAUUAGCUCAAGUGUAAGUUUUUAUGAAUCCUAAAUGGGAUCAACUGUAAAAAAGAAAAGCAUGGAAUAUGAGAGGGAUUUUUUUCUCCUCUUCUUGAACCUUGGGGGUUUUAUUGGAAGAAGAAAUUGAAUUCACAAGAGCUGCAAAUGUAGUGAAUCAUUAAUGAGUUCAAAUGUCUGUGGAUUCACUUUGUGCAGGUUAUUCUCUUAAUUGAAAACACAGCAAUGUGUGUGUGAGUAAUCUUCACAAAUGAGUGCAUAUGGGAGGAACGUAGAGAUAUUUAUGACUCGAACAUCUUAGUGUGGAGCAGCACAGAGAGGAGAGUGUAAAUGAAGUUCAAUGUUUUCCUCCUUCCUCCGUUCUCUUGUCAGCCAAACCAGUAUGAAGGUUGUCUCCCUCUGUAAUCAUCCACAGUAUUACGUCUGCAGCUCUUAGUUUUGUCUUUCGGUAGAUUAACGGAGCUGCUGUGUCCCUCGUCUGCUCGUCUUCUUCUGAUUUUCUCUCUCAGCGUUCCCUCACUGUGCCUCAUUAAGACGCAGAGAAACAAGAACUUCCGACCUAACGCUACUGUAACAAGAGUUUGUGAUUUUAUUCUUCAAGUAAGUCAACGAUGUGUGAUUUUUCAUUGAAUUUUGUUUCUUUCUCUAAAAGCACAGGCAGAAAAUAAGCAGGUUUUUGGCAUAAGCAGUUGUUUUCCCACUGAGGGACAUCUGAAGGUCAACUCUGUCAAGUAGAGCACUUGUGAAAAGCCCAAGAUUUUGAUUUUACAAUGAAUAAUGCAUCGACGGAGACUUUUGUUUUCAGCCCACAUCUCUUUUAGAUGCUUUUUAUUCUCAUUCAUUUUCUCUUGGUGAAGGUUGCAGCUCUACAGAGAACACCAACAGAGGUUAAACGCAUUUAUUCAAGAGUUUCUCCAUAAUAAUGGCAGCUUUGAAUCUAUUUCUUAGUCCUGUCUUAUCCACAAACUGUAUAGAAUAGCUAAAUCCUUUUUUAAAUGUAUACUUCUCUAGUGGGAUAAGAAGUGGUUUGGGCUUUUUUGGAGCUUUACUGGGUGAAAAGUGACUGAAAAAUAGCUGCAGGUAAUAGAUUUUGCUUUCCAUUUGUGUGAGAUAAGGGAAGUACAUGCCAAUAGAAGGAUCAGCAGCAGUUAAAAGGUAAGAAAAAAGGAAAAAUCACCCACAACCCUUGUCAUUGAUUUGAUUUUGUCCUUUUGGGGAUGAUCAUCAGUUCAUUUCUUCUCUUUUAGAUUGAAGACAUUUAGGCUAGGGCAGGGCGAUAAACUGAAAAUUUACUGAUACCAAAAUUUAUGACAAUAUCCGAUGUCAUUUUGCACAUCAAUAUAUAUAAAAAAUCAAAGUUGGUUUUAGAUGUGUAUAGGUAGGCUAUGGUCUCAUGUCCCUUUAAGAUGCUGUCCUACGUCAGAGACGUGACUCCACCCCAUCUAGUCUGUAACAAAGAGGGAAAGACAGGCGAGGAGAUGGAGGACGGUUCAGAAGUUGUAGCGGCUGGAGCGGUGGCUGAAGUAGACGAAGUAGAUGCAGGAGGGGGUGAGCAGCUUGUGGAGUAGUUAUCGUCCAUUUAUUGUUAUCGAGGUGAACUGCUCAAUAUAUCGUAAUAUUGAUUUGAGGCUAUAUUGCUCAGCCCUAAUUUGAGUUGAUGUGAAGAGGAGGUGUGUGUGUGUGUACGUAUGAGAAGAUAAAAAACUGAAACAGUGUCAGAUAAGAUAUUGAACUUUUACACAAAUACACUAAAGAGGAAUGACAGAAAUAUCUUUGUCCUAUUAAAUAGCCCCUUUUACGUUUUUUGAAGUCAAUGUCGAACAACUAAACCUGGCAAGGCUUUCUCUUGUAUAUGUAAUUUUUUUUUUUGCGACAUGCUGAACUGCCUUUAUGCCACAUGAUGGUUGACCCUAUUUAAUCCUGGAGGCUGUCAGCUAAAAACUCAGAGUGGAGGUGAGAUUAUCAUCAGAUAAAUGAGCGGUGGUCUGUCAGAGUGAUAACUCCUAUUAAACAGAGAGGAAGAGCCGUCUCAUAUCACGUUCAGCGCAGACCUCCAGAAUCGAUGCUUCUUCACCGAUUCACUCGUCUAUGAAAUGUGGACGUCAAUAUUUGAAGUUUUCACCUUUUGAAUUAAACAUUUGGUGGUUAUACUUUGAAGCGUGGCACUUUGGGAUUGUGAUGAAAUCCAGCAGACAUACCGAGUGUUUUGUCAAGGAGGAGAAUAGAGUGAAUGGCAUUGAAAGUCAUGAUAACCGCAGCCAAAAUUCAUCAAGAAUAUCAAAACAUUUACAGCGUUAGAUUAUGAAGUGGAAAGAUACCAAGCAGCCAUUUGUAGAAAUACAUUAAAGCCCUUUUCUUUGUUACUGAAUGGAGUCAGGCUGAAAUUGGCCUCUCAGGAGAACAUAUUACACCUGUCAGUCAUCGCUCAGGGCGUCAGUGAGCGUCUGUCUUCUGCUACAUCUCAGUAAAAGCAUCUUUUGAACCCACAUGAAGAGUGAUUUUAGGCAUUUAUGUGUCGGCAGAAGAAAGAUACUGUCUUUUUUCUGCGCCCACUCGAAAAGACGUGAAGUUACGGUCACUUCAGCUGAGUGGGUUUGUUAGUGCUAUAAGGCUAAGCAUGGGCAUGUGCUCUAUUAGACACACAGUUGUGAGUCAGUGAGCAUGUGGGUCGUUUGAUUCUCACGCAGGUCUGCCUUUUUUUUUACUUAUUGGCAUCUUGUGCAACAAUAAAUAACUUUUAAUGAAAGACUGUAAGAAGAUGUUUUCUUGACAUCUUAUUUUGACCUCAGCAUGACCCGUAUGCUGCCCUGAAGCUUUGAGGUCUUGACAAGAACUGAUCUAAGAGUCUCACUAAAGGUUUUGUUUACUUACUGCAACCUUUACCCUCUUAUUUUUCUCCUUUUCUUGUCUUCUCAGAGUUUGUUAAAGCUGCGUCUUCCUUUCUGAACAUGAUGGAUAAUGAAGAGCGGAUCAAAUCAUCAACGAGGCAGACUAAAGGACGAGGCUAAAGUUUUCUUCAGGUAAUAAUUUCUGCACUGCUGUUUCUUUCCACAAUCAAACAAAUGACUGCUGGAGACGAGCCUGAUCUCCGUUACCAUAAAAAGUUGAAAGCGUCCAACCAUAACGGCUUCCUGGAGUUUUGCGAGCUGCUGAACCCCGACUCUGUUACAGCAAACCAGCAUAAAACGAUCUUAUACCAGCUUAUUAACACCAUCUUAGCACAGUCAGCUCUGUUGCAGUUGUCUACCAUCGUGUUUGUUUACGUCAUAAAAACCAAAGAAUCACUGCGAAGCUGGAAGGCGCCUGCUAAUCGCCUCUGGCUGUGAGAUUUUUCCCUCUAGUCAUCCAGGACUCUCUCCCCUUGUAAAGAGCUGACUAAUUAUAGUGUCUGCAUGGUAUUAUGAGCCUAACAACACCUUAACCAUUCAGCACAAGUUAUUUUCUGCUUGGUAGGAUAAAGAUAAUUGCCAGACAAAUGGCAGUUUAUGUAGAGAUCAAUUUACUGGCCAACAAUGUUGCCCAGCCAUUUUAUUUGCUAGUAAACAAACAUUCGGGACAUUUUGUUGGGUUACUGUUUUCUUUAAUUGGCUGUAAUGUGGGCCAAAUGAGGGUUAAACUACUUGAGAGAAGACAUCUGUGGGGUUAUAUGCACUCAGCAUCACUCCAUUACUCAUCCUGGAUCCUGUUCUUUCUCUUUGUUUUCAUCGGUUUUAUAAGCAGAUUCUGUCACAGCCCAUUUCUUCUGUUAGGUAUACACAUAUACAGCCUCAUUAUACACACAUAUGAGCUCCCAGCAGCUUGUGACAACAGAACUACAUAUCUGCAUGGACACUAGGGGUGGGCGAAAAAUCCAUACAGCAUAGUAUUGCAAUAUUUUGUCUGGUGAUAUAUUGUUUCGUCUCAUGUACAAAGUGUCGAUUUUUCAAAUUAAUUGCUGAUAUGAAGUAAAAUCUAUAAUAAUGGAAAAAUAAAAUCAACCGUUUGUCCAGUGAGGGUGUCAGAGGUGACAUCAUAAAGCAGGAGAAAGUUGGUACAACAAAUAUAUAAAAGAUUUGGAAGAUGUGCUUCAUGAAAAUAAAAUACUGUGUAAAUAAGACAAACAUCAAGUCAAAGUCAACUUUAUUGUCAAAUAUGCUAUAAAUGUUAAACAUACAGCACAGAUGAAAUUUCAGUCCUCUCAGAUCCAUGGUGCAUAAGAAUAAACUUUAAAAACAAAACUAUAAAAGUAUAAAUAUGAGGAUAAACAACUGAGCUAAACAAGACUACCUUAAAUAGUCUCAAAUUACAAAAUAAAGAUAACAAUAUAAACAGCAUAACAGUAUAAACAGUGUAACAGUAUAAAUAUAAGGUAGAAGGUGAAUGGAAGAACGUGAAUGUAAACAGUAUGGCAGUCCUGAAGUUGACGUAAUAGUGUAAAUAUGACAAUAUGGAUACAAUAGUGCAAAUAAUGGCAGCUGUGCAAUAGAGUAAAAGUACAAUGUAAUGCAAUAGUAAUAAUGGUGCAAUGAUGAGGGAUAAAGUGAAAGUGUGAGUGUGCUAAAUUAUCUAAACAGUUAAAAAAAAUGUAUAAAUCACAAUAUAUUGUAUCGCAAUACUCACUGUAUUGUAAUAUGUUAAAAAUCGUAAAAAUAUAUCACUUUGGCCCAAGUAUCCUGAUAAUAUCAUAUCAUGGGGCCACUAGUGAUUCCAACCCCUAAUGGACUGCUUAAAUUAACACAUUUUUGAUAAACCCAGUGAAAAUCAGCUUCAUCACACAGUCCAAAAACAUACAGUGUGAUUGGUUGUCUGUCUCUUCAUGUCAUCCCUGUGAUAGACUUGCAUCCCGUCCAGGGUGUACCUGCCUCUCGCCUGUUGACAGCUGGCUUGAGUCUCUGUGCAUGUGUCACUGAAGAGGAAGGUUUUUAGGAUGAUAAAGAAACAGAGAGUGAUCAGAAAAACAAUCUGAAGGGGCAAACAUGUGAUUGAAUUUACUCCUUUAACAUGUGUCUUCUUAUGGGUGUAAGCAGAUGGGGCACCAGCUGAGCGCAGUAGAUAAAACUGUCAAGCAGAAAGAGAGAAAGUUAAAUCAAUUCAUCUGCAUUUUCUUGAAAGUGCAGUCAGUUUGGAGGGAUAUGUAGAUUUUGCAGGAUGAGGCUAAAUUACACAAUGAGGAAACAGAGUAAUUUGACACCUUUCAUCACCAAAUCUUCACGCCUUUUACGGCAAAAUGCUCCUUUAUGUUGGUUAGCUCUAUGCUGAUUUUGUCUGUUUUGCUGUCGUAAUUUUUUUACCUAAACUGUUGCCUGAAGAGUGAAAAUAUCAAUCAGUGCAGCUGUUGGUAAACAGUUCAUUUAUAUUUCCUGUUAAACUUUUGAAAAAAAGACAUGAAUUGUAAAGUGGCCUAAAGAGAUUAUUUCUGACGUGUUCAUUUUGUGGAGAAGUCUGAACUGUUUUCAGGUCUUGAAAGGACUCGCUCCGCUGGCUGUAAACUCUAAAAGACUUGUGUCUACUGUGAGUGGAAUAAAACAUCCAGAUGGUUUCCACACAAACUUUAAUAGGCUUGUUUUUCAGAUUUCCUCUUUGCUGGGCUUCAUUGAUUUGAUGUUUCUCCUUUCUUUAUAGCCCAGUUUUAUUAGGUGUUAACUUCUAUAUCAGCAGCUCAGACACUUUCCUGCCUUUUUAUGACAUCGUAUCACUUCAGCGUUCACAAAACUAGCUAAAAAUAGAUAUUUCUGGACAACAUUUGGACUGAUAUCUUUGUGAAAUAGAUUUACAACACAGGCAUAAUCAUAAAAGCCUGAAAUCAACUCCAUAAAGUUUAUCUUUGAGAUGCCUCACUGACUGGAAAUGAGACGUCUCGUGUUUCUAACUUUCCGCCUCAUUUACAUUUGUGAGCGUUUUAUAGUGCGGAGGCUGUGCCUGCUAAUUUUAUUAGAUACUAAUUACAGAGUUUAAAAAUAGUGCACAAACUGUCUGAGUGUUACCAUCAAGUUGCCUCCAUUUUUAAAGUGUUAGUUUCGGUGUGUGCAGAAAGUAUUACGGCACAUUUUGAAGUAUAAAACACUUACCUGCAGAGACGGGGAGGACGUGUACAUGACAUGCUCUUGAGAAAGACUCCUAAACUUUUACUCUACUGUAUAUUCAACCAUGCAGAGUAACUACCAGGUGUCAGUGUGUGUCUGCGCGACUUCACCUAACUACACCGGUGAACCUGCCGCAAAGUACAACAGGUUAAAUCACUGCGAACUGAAAGCGACAGGUAAAAAGUGCACAGAGCGGAGUGGAGUGGAGUGGAGUGGAGGAUGAGGGGUACAAUAUGCUGGGGAAAUAGCUCAAACUCCUGGGAUUGAACUUGUGGGGAGAGCAAGAGAAAUAGAUUAAGUAAAGUCUGAGUUGAGUUGAGAUGGAAAAGAGAGAAAUUGUCAGCCGCAGGGUGAAACAGCAGAGGGAUAAUAAAAACGGGGACACAGCAGGGGACCGGAAUGAGCGUAAGUAUGAGUAUGAGUAUGAGCCGAGACAGGGCGUGUUUGUGUCACUGCUGUCAGUGGGUGGGCAUCAACUUUAAUUUGACAUUAAGCUCUCAUACAAAUCCUUCUGUUCCUGACACCUCAUAUUUUUUGGAGAUACUUUGUCUAAAUCACAGCCUGAAUACUGAGCUCUGUCCAGAUGUUUUUGCUACUGGUUAAGUUCACACUAAUGCAGACAAACAGCCCGCCUGCAAUGACACAAGUUAUAUUGUCUGCAGACUCUUCCUGGACUUACUUUAAUAAUAGUAAAAUAAUAACUUUAUUUUUAUAGCACUUGUAAAAACAGAAGUUUACAAAGUGCUUUGACAAAUAGUUGUACAGCAUAGAACAUCAGCAAAUGGAAAUAAAAACAAAAGCGCAGUUAAAAAAAAAUUUCCUCUGUUUGCAAAGUUAAAGAGAAUCUGUAUUUCAAGCAUUUUGCAACCGUUUGUAGCAGCUUCACGCUUGCCCAAAAAUAUCAUGGGUGUUGGGUUUUUUUUGCAAGUGUGCUGAUGUUGGCCUAGUGUAGCGUUUGGAGACUUAUGCUAUGUUGUCUCAUUUGUUGUGAUGUGAUAAACAUCUGAUAACAUGGAGUAAAAGCAAAAGAGGAGAUGAAAAAGUUUUUAAAAAGUGUAAGAUGUCGAUAAAAAGCUGCUGAGUCUGUGGGCUCUAUUUUUGUGCCUCACCGGAGACGUGGCGCAGGCGUGGCGUAAGUCAGGUCUGCCGCGCCAACAAGGCGUUCCCAAGCACAAUUUGGUAUUUUGGUGAGCGGCGCAGCCCGGCUUAAGUAUCCCCCCUCCCUAACUCAGCUCCUCCCAGUGGCGUUAGUCGUAGGGAGGGAGGAGAGAGGACUUGGAGUGGAUUUAACACAGCCGAGACCUGUAUUGUCCAAUAACAUCAGCUCCUCUCCUCGCCUUUAAAUCCACCACCGGCGAGGAAUAUUACAAUUUUCGUGAAGUAAUCAAAGAGAUCGGGCUCCGCCAUGCAAAAAAAAACACUGUGCGGGGUCCGCCACCCUUUGCCGCGUCGCCAGCGGACACGAAAAUAGAGCCCUGUGACUGUUCUUUGAAACUACAGUCACGUUCAUGAGCUGAACGUGGUCCAAGGUCUGCUGGAGGUCUUCAGAGCUGUUUGAGGCUCACAGUCCUGGGCGUGAUGCCACAAAGCUUUGACAACAGGCACAUGAUAGGAAUAGACUAUGAUCCUUUUUAGCAUCACUCCAAAUUUAUACCGACCUUUAACUCGCUGCCAGAAGGAGCGAUGAUGGCGUCCAGGUUAUGUCAUGAUUGAUCUUUAUUUAUCUGUUUACCAGACCUUUAUCUGAGCAGGAACACAUACUUCAAAAAGCUGAAUGCGUAAUCCUCUGGACACGAUUUGUAUGUCGGUGAUACGUGUGAGGCGGUGGAUACAGCUGUGUUUGCACUGCCUCACCAAAGCCUAGUGUAAAUUUUCAGCCAUUUCCUUUGAAAAAGAGUUUGACCAAUUUUAGAAAAAGAAAAAAAAAAUAUUGAGGAUAUUGUUUUAUUUUUGUCUUAAAUGCAAGCAUAAGGAAAGAGCAACCAGUUAUUGUAGAUGCCCAUGUCUGGAGAGUCUGAGCUUGGCUCUGACUUUAAGUGUUUUAAAAUAGAGAUGCACCGAUCCAUUUUUUCCUGAUCCAAUCCGAUACCAAUACCUGGGCUGAGUGUAUUGGCUGAUAUCCAAUACCGAUCCAAUACUACUGUUAAAUGAACGAGUGUUUAUAAAAAAGGUAACAAUUAACACAGAUAUAAAUUUACUUAAUAUUAUUAAUUAAAAAAUAACAAAUUGCACAUUUAAGAAAAAUUAAUUGAAAGAAAAAAAAAGACUGGAUCAGCGUCAUUCAUCAGAUAUUUGAUCCAGUUAAUUUGUUAAAAUCGGAGCUGAUAUCAAAUCCAAAUAUCAGAUCGGUGCAUCUCUAGUUUUAAAUUCUACUUUCCUCCUUGUUUCCUCUUUUCAUCUCCUCCUUUCCUCUCUCCUUUCACAAUAUCUCUGCCUCUUCCUCACUCUUUCCCUCAUGCUGCUUACCGUUCACUCUCUAAAGCCUACUGCUGCUGCUGCUGAAGAGUAAGAGGAGUCACACGGGGCAGCCUGCCAACCUGUUUGUAUGCUUCAGAUCGCUGGUGUCUUCAUCCAGCUGCUCCGAGUGUGUGUGUGUGUGUGUGCAUGUGUGAGGGAUGCAGAUUAGACGAGGAGUAUUGGGAUUAGAGUCGAAUGUGUCUCAAGUAUCUCCUUAAUCACCCAUGGAUUUUCAGCCUGUUUGUUUGUAUGAGUCAAGACGUAUCUCCACCAACACAUAUGCGCUUAUUGAUCCUCUUUCAUCGAUUUGUGAGUCUCUGAAGCUUAAACAGAGUAUGUUUCACAGGGAGCAUGUGGGCGCAUGAAUGAGUAGAUCAGUGCUUUAAUCAUUAGUGGGAAGAGAGAAUACCACCGGAGAAUCCACGGGGUGUAAAAGGUUGAAAAAUAAAACCAACAGCUAAAAUGAAAGGCAUAAAAGUGAAAGCAGAAAUCAUAUUUGGCAAAAUACAAAUAGCAGUGGGCCUAGAACUGAACCCUGGGGGACCCCUGUGGAGGAUAUUUUCCAUUGAUGAUGGUGAGCUGACAUCAGGGGUGUCAAUUUUAACUUGACAUUAAAUAUCAUGUUUUUGAAUAAGGAGAGACUCGAAGUUUCUUCUUUCCCGUCAAUGACAGCGACGCCUCACUAUUUCCUAUUAUUAUCCUCAUGAUUUAACUCUUUAAAUGCUGCACAUUUUUCCAAACCUAUCUUUUUUCACUCUCUGGCUCUACACCUGCUGUAUUACUCACUUUUUCAAAGCGGCACACUGUGUACUCUAUGACCCCCUCUAUGUACACCUUGAGUUGUUUCUCCAGAGACGGAGUGAAUUUCAACCUCCAUGGUUCAUGUGGGCAAGAAUCCUGCACGGUGCUCAGACCUCGACAUUGCACCGUGAGAAUGCAGCAGAUUUGUCCAUCAUGUACCUCUCCCCUCUCUCUCUUUCUCUCUCUUUCUCUCUCUCUCUCUCUUCAUAUAAAUGUAAAUAUGUGUUUGGGCAUUGGAACAGGCCUUUCUGUGUCCGCUGGGAGUCACACUGCCAGAGGGGAAAUCAGAGGUGUUCUUGCCAGCCAAUCAACAGACUCUAAGCUGUCACCGUCCACAGACUUACAGCGAGGUCACUGAGGGGCUGACCUACAUGAGUAUUGUGCCAUGCAAAUGAGCUAAAAACGUCUCAUUAUUAAAGCAGACGCCAAGACUUAAGUGCACCAUAAUUUGCACCGCAAAGCAAAUAGUGUCUCUGUGUGCCAGACAGUUUUGUCUGCAUAUAUCUGCAAACCCCAAUUCUUAUGAAGUUAUACUCUACAAACACUACAUCAUUGUCAAACCAAAACUUAGGGAGGCAGCCAGUCUUCAGCAGGAACAGACCCUGAACAGAGAAGAUAAGGAAGCUUUUGCUUAAUCUGAUUUUUUCACACUGAAGAAGAGCUGCACAGUCUUGAAAAGAAGUUCAGGAAACUUAUAACUUGUAAUCAGGUACUCUUGGCCUGCUCACUCCUCUCGACAUAAUUGCAGAAAUUGAAUGAUUCAUGGGUGUCUAAUGUUGUGUCAAUCACAGAUGGUUUUGUGUUAUUUAUCGGGCGCUAUUUCCAGGUUUAUGCACCCUCUGAGCUCUAUUGCAAGUUAAUAUUGCAUGAAGCCUGUUUGUGACGUGACACCGAGUGCAGUCACCAGAUUUCCUGCACAGGGGUGUCGAGCUGUUUGGCUAACAAGUCUGGAGGAGGGAGAGCAGUUUGCACGGAUCAUGUCCUCUGGUGUUUAAAUGGCUUUACAAACUAAAAUGGCUUUUUACAUCGCAGUACAUAAUUGCACAGUUUGUGUCUGUGAGAAGCUGUAAAGAGAGCUCCAAUGUUCAUAUGGGCUUUUCAGGUUCAUGAACCAGCCGUUCAGAUGUUGUGAAAGCAUCCCUGCGCGUAACCACAGUGUGCUGACAUUCAGGCGUCUGUUUUCAGACAUCUGGUGCUUUUUUUCAGUUUUUUUCCAUCUUUGUGAAGAUCUCUGCAGCGGUGAGCCGUGCUGUGAUGAAAUGUUUUUAUCCUCUUCUCAACAAAACUUGAGUUUACCUUUUUCCAAGUAGAGUUAUUCCAGCACAAAAGGCCAUUUCAGAAAGUGGUGGCGCAGUCUGAAGCCAUCUCUAGAGCCUGUUGCAUAGCUGAAAAAACAGUGCAGAAUGAGAUCUGCAAAAACAGCCCAAUGCACACUGUAGUGUCUAUUUAACCAGGGUUAAUUUGCACUCUCUGGUGUAACAAGUGUACCUCUACAGCAGUGUGUCCUAUGUCAUCAGUCUCUAAGAGAGCGCAUCGAUUUAAAACCGCCCCCUUAACAGCUGAAUCCAAGAACAUUAUCAGCCCCUUAAAGACUAAUCCACCCGUCUCCUCUCUCCGGUUUAAUGCAGCAGGUUUCUCUCAGUGAUUUGGAUCCAAACAGUCCUCAUAGGUAACAUCAGGGCUGAAAACACAGCAGGAGCAGCAGAGAAGAGAUUUCCAUUUACUGAAAAAAAAAAAAAAAAAACCUUGCACACCUGUUUUCUUUAAUGAAGGAAAAAGUGUGAUGAGUUAAAAUGAGAUAAAACGCCACAUUAAGGUAAUUGAAAAAGUCAUGCUUGAGAAAAAGACAACUUUAAAGGUCAGUCUGGGAUUUCAUUUCUGGCGUUAGAUGUUAGAUACAGCUUUUUUAAUGUAAAGAGAUGACUCGUGGUCCUUUCAUUUGGCGACUCUUGUUAGGGCCCAUCAGAGUCUGCUGAGUUAAGAGACUAAAAGUCCUUACACACUGGGAACGACGCAAAUAUCCGACGAGAAAUUACAAAAUAUUCAGAGGCGAAUUUUGACGCGCCUGACUAUAUACAUCAAGCAAGAUGCGAUUUUUGCGACUUUCUGGGGGCGUCCUGGGUGGAAGCGAGAAGACUGACACAACAGCAGACUGACUGUUUUUCAGUUCUGAUUAGACACUAGUGUUGAGAUGUCUGUCUGUCAUGAUAGCAUGUACUGAGUCGGGGCCAGUACCAGAUAAGCACAUUAAACUAUAAUCCAUAAACGUAAGGUAACAACCGAGACCUAAUGGUGCUGUGACAGCAACGUGAUUGAGUUUGAGACAGUGAAAAUACAUAUGGUAUGUUGUAUCUGAACAGGUUAGCUUACGAGCUAAAGUUACUUAGCACAGAUGAAAGUUAAAACAAAGACGUUUAGCAAACUGUUAAAGCACACAAACCAUCGUCAUAUGAGAAAUCUGACACUAUGACUCUCCACAAGUUGUCCUUCUGGUCUUUAUCUUUGUAAUAUUUGUGUCUUUUAUCAAAAAGCACUCUGUUUUCCGACACGUAAACAAUCAGCUGGUCGGCCAUGUUGGAUAUACCGGUGAAUCAGACAUCGCAACAACACGCAAUCUGAUUGGUCAGAAGUGGACACACAGUAUGCAAAACUUUAGAAAACUUGACUGUGAUGCGAAUAUCACAGGACGGGAAAACAUCGCUGAUGUGAACACUUUUAAUGACAGGUUAUGGGUUCGAAAAGAAAUAUUGACGUCCCAAAUAAUCGCACGAAAAAAAAAACGCUCCCGGUGUGAAAAGACCUUAAAGGCUUCUAUUUCUAAACAAAUGUCACUUUGUGUAAAUGUAGUGUUUCUUUCCCUCUCCAGGUACGACACAGCCAAUCACCAGUCCAGUCCAUUCAGCAGCAGCAACAUCGUGUGAAGGAAAGAUCUACGUGUUUGGAGAUGAGAUGCGCCCGACAGCUAAUGAGCCAACAGAUACAGGUUAGGUUUAGUUAUUCCCUAUGAAGACUCUGACUUUGACUUAGACUUUCUUUAUCGUCAUUGCACAAAGGAAAACAGAGCAGUGAUUCCUCUCUACAACAAAAUGUCGUUGCUCUGCUUCCAUUAUUGCACUUUCUGGAGGUAGAGUGGUAGUGGAAUAAAAACAAAUAAAAGUGUAUAAAAAAAUAUCUAUGUCUGGGUCAACUGAGAGCACUUCUUCAUCAGCCCCCUGUUUCCCUCCAUCACUGUCCUCUGCAUCUCUCUCUUCAUGCACUGACACAAAUACAGCCGCAUUUGUUCCCCCUGACAGUAAGUCUGUCUGUGCGUCUUCCCUCUACAUGGACCGCCUCCUGGAGGAACUGCAAAUGAGUUUCACAAACACUUAUCAGGCCUGACUCCCUCUCCCCUGCAGAGUGUAAAAUAUAAUGGCGUGUGACAAAAAUAGUCCCUUCAACGCGUCUGUUGAGAUGUGGGGUGCCUCUGCAGAUCUGCUGGCCUGUGUCUUCCUUUGUCUUUGAUAAAUCAGUCUGCUGAGCAGCAUAUGCACAGGAACAUGAGUGUAAUUGAGCCUCUUCACAUGAGGUAAAUCACUCAGGAAGUCUCAUGAUGUCUCUCAGAACAAAAGUGUUGUGUGUGAGUGGAUAUCUUUUGUUCUCAGAUUGUUUUUAAUAUUCCUGAAUUGAUUAUAACUUUAAAAGAAGAUGUCUGAAAUGUUUUUAAAAACUCCUGUCUGUCCUCUCUAGAUCCUAGGUGGCAAGAUCUUCACCGCAGGAGGCUUUAUGAGCAGCCAACGUCCCUUCUGGAGAAAGAUGUUCCACUUUUAAUCCUAAAGGGUGAAGUUUCUUUUUUUUGUGAGAACUUUUUAAAGUAGUGAAAUCAAGUGAAGUGAAGGACUGUUUUUCCCUUUAUCGGUGGAAUUUAAGAGUCUCUGGACACGUAUCUCUACUGUGAUUGUGGAUUUAUGGGAAAACUCAUUUUGAGCUCUGGAUUACCCGUUUUCUUUGGGCUUGGUGACUGCAUGGGAAAAACUAAAAAGCAGGUUCAGGAGGGUUUCAAGAAGGAGGAAAUCACUACUCUCUUUGGGUGAUUCAAGCCAGACUGAGAUAAACAUCUGGACAAUGAGCGAUCUGUUAUAUCCCUCUGCUUUCUCUGUGGGACAAAGACAGCAUGAAAGAGAGCAAAAUCACUCAAAAAAGCACAAUACUCACCUGAGUCUGUUGCCAUUUUAGUGAUCUGUUGAAAAGAUAUGUCUAUUUUAUCCGUUUUCGAGCACCUUCUUUUAUUAAAUAAACGAAAUGAGUUGGUUUUGUACUCUAUGAAUAACCCA